rnacentral:lncRNA from 1 species
GAAGACCACAGGAGGACUUACAGAAAGGGCAGAGAAGAAGAGAAACAAAGUGAGGAAGAGAGAAAUUUAUCCUGGGGUCCAGAAGUUCGUGUUAACCUGUGAAAAAAAUCAAAUCCCUGGAAGUCUGCAGAGACAGAGACAAGAAGAGACGGGACGCCAGAAACUCCUCUCUCUCCCCACCUCUCUUUUCUAGCCCCCAAAUUCCUGGCCCCCUGUUCCCCAUUGUGAGGAUAAUAUGUUGUUCUUCGUUCUCCUGUUAAAGGUGACUUGGAUCCUGGCUGCAGAUGGGGGUCACCAUUGGACAUAUGAAGGUGAGAUUGGAACUCCAGAUGGACUGGCUCUCCUAUCACCCUGGGGCCCCUCACCUGGCAUGAAGACUUGUCCUAAGGAAGGAAAAAGCUUUUCCUGAGCUUUACCCACCAGCUCCUCUUUUCCUUACUACACACACACACCCUGGGGUUUACACACGUGGCUGCUAGACCCCGCUGUAAUCAUUAAAUCCCACAUCUCCUGAUUCAGCAAAAAAGCCAA